AAUAGACUAUAGUCUGCCCCAGCUCGCUAUGCAUUUGAGACUGACCAUUAAGCUGUAUAUUUUCACCAUGUUUUACUUGUUAAAGCCCAAUCUUUUGGGGUUUUCCCAUUCAAAUGAUCCAAGCAGAUCUGUGGCUGAGGCUUACCUUUCUGUGAGGAGGGCCCUGGCAAAUAAAAUUAGGAAAUCCUGACAUUGUGUUCUUUAAGGAAAAUGCAAACUCAGUAUCUAAAGUGUCAUUCUGAUUUAUAACAUUUGCAUAGGAAUUUAAUAUUGUACAGACUAAAAAGCUAGAAAAAAGUAACAAACAAUAGAAACAGGCAUUACUGCUACUGUAAUUUCAACCGGGACGUUGACAAAUCAUUUUUCCUACAGACAAUGAAUGCCACCUGAAUAGUUUUUCAGGUCUCUUCCUUGUUGUGUGGGUUGAGGGGAACUUGUUCAAGUGUGAAACGUUAAUGAUUUAUGUUGUUUCUUCGUCAAGAAACAGAUAUUCUGCAGUUUCAACAGCACCGCUCACACACAAAGCUGAUGUUACAGGGCUUGAGACACUUUAGUAAACACUUUAGUCCACAGUACACUUUAUCAGCUGUAUCAGCUAAAAUGUCACAUUUCAGUGCUGCACAGGUGCAUUUCGACAUAUUCACCACUAGAUGUCUCAAGAAGACCUAACAGCAGUCGGAUCUUUUGUACAGUGUUACGGUAUUUCUUCAAUGACCCCCAAAUGAUCGGGCUAUCUAGUACAUGGGCUAUUGUUAUGUUCUGCUGUGGAAUACACAUUAAAAUGAUUUUUUCCCCCCUAUUUAGAAUAAUGUCAACUCAUGGACUCAUUUGCCUCAAGGACUACAUUGGAAAAAACCCAGUGAGACUAAUCAGCCCCUGCACUUCAUCUGCUCACAGGCCUGCCUUCAUAAUAUCUUCUAUUUGUUGCUGAGCUGCUGAAGAUCUUUGACAUGAUCAGGGUGCAGCAAAGAGCAGUUGCAGAGGAUGAAUGACCCUGAGAGAAGCGGAGAAUACCAGGAGAAGGGCCUCAGAGAUCGAUGUAUUCACCCACAGAGCUACAGCUCAUAAACUGCAGUAAACAGAGCAGUUUAUGAGCCAGACCCACUGAAUGAGUCACUAAAGCCAUAAUAAAGUACUUACAGGGCACACAAAUUGGACAAUAAAAAUCAAAAUUUGAUCUGAUCUGUAUAGAAUCAGCCCUCUCUUGCUGCCACUCUGUUGAGCACUACUCAACACAAGUGCAUCAUCACUUAAAGGACACAAUAAAGAAAAAUGA